ACUCCUACGGGAGGCAGCAGUGGGGAAUAUUGCACAAUGGGCGCAAGCCUGAUGCAGCCAUGCCGCGUGUAUGAAGAAGGCCUUCGGGUUGUAAAGUACUUUCAGCAGUGAGGAAGGGCGGUACGUUUAAUAGCGGUGCUCGUUUGACGUUAGCUGCAGAAGAAGCACCGGCUAACUCCGUGCCAGCAGCCGCGGUAAUACGGAGGGUGCGAGCGUUAAUCGGAAUUACUGGGCGUAAAGCGCAUGCAGGUGGUUUGUUAAGUCAGAUGUGAAAGCCCGGGGCUCAACCUCGGAAAUAGCAUUUGAAACUGGCAGACAGAGUACUNUAGAGGGGGNAGAAUUUCAGGUGUAGCGGUGAAAUGCGUAGAGAUCU
rnacentral:rRNA from 1 species